GAUGAACGCUAGCUACAGGCUUAACACAUGCAAGUCGAGGGGUAACAAGAGAAAAGCUUGCUUUUCUUGUUGACGACCGGCGCACGGGUGAGUAACGCGUAUCCAACCUGCCUAUAACUAGGGAAUAACCUUGCGAAAGUAAGACUAAUGCCCUAUGACUUCCUUUGGCGGCAUCAAAAAAGGAAUAAAGAUUUAUCGGUUAUAGAUGGGGAUGCGUCUGAUUAGCUUGUUGGCGGGGUAACGGCCCACCAAGGCAAAGAUCAGUAGGGGUUCUGAGAGGAACGUCCCCCACAUUGGAACUGAGACGCGGUCCAAACUCCUACGGGAGGCAGCAGUGAGGAAUAUUGGUCAAUGGGCGGAAGCCUGAACCAGCCAAGUAGCGUGCAGGAUGACGGCCCUAUGGGUUGUAAACUGCUUUUAUACAGGGAUAAAGUUAGCCACGUGUGGUUAUUUGCAGGUACUGUAUGAAUAAGGACCGGCUAGUUCCGUGCCAGCAGCCGCCGUAA
rnacentral:rRNA from 1 species